rnacentral:rRNA from 1 species
AUGAACGCUGGCGGCGUGCCUAAUACAUGCAAGUCGAGCGAACAGACGAGGAGCUUGCUCCUCUGACGUUAGCGGCGGACGGGUGAGUAACACGUGGAUAACCUACCUAUAAGACUGGGAUAACUUCGGGAAACCGGAGCUAAUACCGGAUAAUAUAUUGAACCGCAUGGUUCAAUAGUGAAAGACGGUUUUGCUGUCACUUAUAGAUGGAUCCGCGCCGCAUUAGCUAGUUGGUAAGGUAACGGCUUACCAAGGCAACGAUGCGUAGCCGACCUGAGAGGGUGAUCGGCCACACUGGAACUGAGACGCGGUCCAGACUCCUACGGGAGGCAGCAGUAGGUAAUCUUCCGCAAUGGGCGAAAGCUUGACGGAGCAACGCCGCGUGAGUGAUGAAGGUCUUCGGAUCGUAAAACUCUGUUAUUGGGGAAGAACAAAUGUGUAAGUAACUAUGCACGUCUUGACGGUACCUAAUCAGAAAGCCACGGCUAACUACGU